rnacentral:rRNA from 1 species
AACGCGAAGAACCUUACCUGCUCUUGACAUGCUAGGGAUUUAGCAGAGAUGCUGGAGUGCCUUCGGGAACCUAGGCACAGGUGCUGCAUGGCUGUCGUCAGCUCGUGUCGUGAGAUGUUGUCUUAAGUGACGCAACGAGCGCAACCCUUACUACUAGUUGCUGGAGAGUAUCUGGGACUCUAGUAGGACUGCCGGUAAAUAAAUCGGAGGAAGGUGGGGAUGACGUCAAGUCCUCAUGGCCCUUAUGAGCAGGGCUUCACACGUCAUACAAUGGUAGGUACAGAAGGUAGCGAAGUCGUGAGGCGGAGCCAAUCCUAGAAAGCCUAUCGUAGUCCGGAUUGCACUCUGCAACUCGAGUGCAUGAAGUAGGAAUCGCUAGUAAUCGCAGAUCAGAAUGCUGCGGUGAAUACGUUCCCGGGCCUUGUAC